CUUAGAGUUUGAUCCUGGCUCAGGAUGAACGCUAGCUACAGGCUUAACACAUGCAAGUCGAGGGGCAGCAUGAACUUAGCUUGCUAAGUUUGAUGGCGACCGGCGCACGGGUGAGUAACACGUAUCCAACCUUCCGUUUACUCAGGGAUAGCCUUUCGAAAGAAAGAUUAAUACCUGAUAGUAUGGUGAGAUUGCAUGAUAGCACCAUUAAAGAUUUAUCGGUGAUGGAUGGGGAUGCGUCUGAUUAGCCUGUUGGCGGGGUAACGGCCCACCAAGGCGACGAUCAGUAGGGGUUCUGAGAGGAAGGUCCCCCACAUUGGAACUGAGACACGGUCCAAACUCCUACGGGAGGCAGCAGUGAGGAAUAUUGGUCAAUGGACGAGAGUCUGAACCAGCCAAGUAGCGUGCAGGAUGACGGCCCUAUGGGUUGUAAACUGCUUUUAUAAGGGAAUAAAGUGAGUCUCGUGAGACUUUUUGCAUGUACCUUAUGAAUAAGGACCGGCUAAUUCCGUGCCAGCAGCCGCGGUAAUACGGAAGGUCCGGGCGUUAUCCGGAUUUAUUGGGUUUAGAGGGAGCGUAGGCCGGAGAUUAAGCGUGUUGUGAAAUGUAGACGCUCAACGUCUGCACUGCAGCGCGAACUGGUUUCCUUGAGUACGCACAAAGUGGGCGGAAUUCGUGGUGUAGCGGUGAAAUGCUUAGAUAUCACGAAGAACUCCGAUUGCGAAGGCAGCUCACUGGAGCGCAACUGACGCUGAAGCUCGAAAGUGCGGGUAUCGAACAGGAUUAGAUACCCUGGUAGUCCGCACGGUAAACGAUGGAUGCCCGCUGUUGGUCUGAAUAGGUCAGCGGCCAAGCGAAAGCAUUAAGCAUCCCACCUGGGGAGUACGCCGGCAACGGUGAAACU
rnacentral:rRNA from 1 species